rnacentral:rRNA from 1 species
CGGACGGGUGAGUAACGCGUGGGUAACCUACCCUGUACACACAGAUAACAUACCGAAAGGUAUGCUAAUACGGGAUAAUAUAUUUGAGAGGCAUCUCUUGAAUAUCAAAGGUGAGCCAGUACAGGAUGGACCCGCGUCUGAUUAGCUAGUUGGUAAGGUAACGGCUUACCAAGGCGACGAUCAGUAGCCAACCUGAGAGGGUGAUCGGCCACAUUGGAACUGAGACACGGUCCAA